GGAAUUGCAUUCGAUACUGGUUAGCUAGAGUAUGGGAGAGGAUGGUAGAAUUCCAGGUGUAGCGGUGAAAUGCGUAGAGAUCUGGAGGAAUACCGAUGGCGAAGGCAGCCAUCUGGCCUAAUACUGACACUGAGGUGCGAAAGCAUGGGGAGCAAACAGGAUUAGAUACCCUUGGUAGUCCAUGCCGUAAACGAUGUCUACUAGCCGUUGGGGGAUUUGAUCCUUUAGUGGCGCAGCUAACGCGAUAAGUAGACCGCCUGGGGAGUACGGUCGCAAGACUAAAACUCAAAAUGAAUUGACGGGGGCCCGCACAAGCGGUGGAGCAUGUGGUUUAAUUCGAUGCAACGCGAAGAACCUUACCUGGCCUUUGACAUAGUAGAGACUUUCCAGAGAUGGAUUGGUGCCUUCGGGAAUCUACAUACAGGUGCUGGCAUGGCUGUCGUCAGCUCGUGUCGUGAGAUGUUGGCUUAAGUCCCGCAACGAGCGCAACCCUUUUCCUUACUUGCCAGCAUUUCGGAUGGGAACUUUAAGGAUACUGCCAGUGACAAACUGGAGGAAGGCGGGGACGACGUCAAGUCAUCAUGGCCCUUACGGCCAGGGCUACACACGUGCUACAAUGGUCGGUACAAAGGGUUGCUACACAGCGAUGUGAUGCUAAUCUCAAAAAGCCGAUCGUAGUCCGGAUCGCAGUCUGCAACUCGACUGCGUGA
rnacentral:rRNA from 1 species